AUACCAUCAGGGGACUGAAAUCUAGCUAAAAGAAUUUGGGACGGAGUAUUAGGAAUUGUCAAAAGUGUAGAAGUCUAAUUUUGAUUUUUAAAUAAUAUAAAUACUAUGCUACCCUUCCUUUUUCAGUUUUCUUCAACUAUUUUCUGGACUUACGGAGGAACUUGAUGCCAGAAUUCAGUUCUGGUCAGAACGGACACCACCAAAUUAAUUACAGUGACCUCCGAACUCUUUACCCUUGACCCUGGUGGCAGAAACUGGUAUGACUAGCAAUCCCUGACUCUCAACCCUUCUGACACUCGCUGUCCAGGUGAAUCCAUAGCCAAAGCCAAGGACAUAUCAGCAAUUUCGACUUGGUCUCUGGUCUCAUUGGUCAACAGGCAAGAGCUACAAUAGAAUAUGUACUUGGACUCAGGCUCAGAAAUUACCAAACUGUCAUAACUGACCCAAAGAUGCUUCCCCUGGCACAGGAGUAAGGUAGGGGAUGGUAAAUAAGAGGAAGAGAGAAAGAAGAUCUUGAAGAUGGAAGUCCAAAUGUCACAGCAGGCAGUGUAAAGGGCAGAAACAACCAUUCUAGGUAAGCUCACAAAAAUCUUCCUUUUGUCUUUAUUAAUGGCAAUGAUCCCAUUUGUGUGGAACACUAGAGUGCAUUUAGAUUAAGUGUUCUCUUCAGCUUGAUUCCUAAGCUCAUCAAGAUCCUAAGAGCAGAGAACUGAACAAAGCUGGGGAGCUUAUCCUGAGCUUUGAAGAGAUUAUCCCCCAAGUUCCCUGGCAGGCCUGCAGAAGGUGACCUGCCUGUUAUCUCAGAACACUCCAUACAGCAGAGAUCAUCAACACCAUUAUGGC
ensembl:lincRNA